GUGGGGAAUCUUGCGCAAUGGGCGAAAGCCUGACGCAGCCAUGCCGCGUGAAUGAUGAAGGUCUUAGGAUUGUAAAAUUCUUUCACCGGGGACGAUAAUGACGGUACCCGGAGAAGAAGCUCCGGCUAACUUCGUGCCAGCAGCCGCGGUAAUACGAAGGGGGCUAGCGUUGCUCGGAAUUACUGGGCGUAAAGGGCGCGUAGGCGGACAGUUUAGUCAGAGGUGAAAGCCCAGGGCUCAACCUUGGAAUUGCCUUUGAUACUGGCUGUCUUGAGUACGGGAGAGGUGAGUGGAACUCCGAGUGUAGAGGUGAAAUUCGUAGAUAUUCGGAAGAACACCAGUGGCGAAGGCGACUCACUGGCCCGUUACUGACGCUGAGGCGCGAAAGCGUGGGGAGCAAACAGGAUUAGAAAUCCCUGUAGUCC
rnacentral:rRNA from 1 species